rnacentral:misc_RNA from 1 species
AAUUAUCAAAACCCUCUUUUAGAGGAUUUUUGGACUUGGAGGUUUGAUGCUCGCUUUUGGGUCUCAAAAGCGAGCUCCUCUCAAAUGAAUUAGUGGGGUCUGCUUUGUCGGUCCUUGAUGUGAUAAGAUGUUUUGACGUUUUGGACUUGGCACUGUUUAUUGGACACCUGCUUCUAACUGUCCGUCGUGGACAAACGAUGGUGUUUUGGUCUCCUCCGUCCACGUUGGCGGGAGGCUGGACCCACAAAGAAAA